GCUGGGCAUGGUGGCACAUGCCUGUAAUCCCAGCUACUCAGGAGGCUAAGGCACAAGAAUCACUUGAACUUAGGAGGCAGAGGUUGCAGUGAGCAGCGGUCAUGCCAUUGCAUUCUAGCCUGGGUGACAGAGUGAGACUUUGUCUUUA
rnacentral:SRP_RNA from 1 species